rnacentral:rRNA from 1 species
CUACGGGGUGCUCCAGUGAGGAAUAUUGGUCAAUGGGCGCGAGCCUGAACCAGCCAUCCCGCGUGCAGGAUGACGGCCCUAUGGGUUGUAAACUGCUUUUCUAUGCCAAGAAACCUGAUUACGUGUAAUCAGUUGCCGGUAGCAUAGGAAUAAGCAUCGGCUAACUCCGUGCCAGCAGCCGCGGUAAUACGGAGGAUGCAAGUGUUAUCCGGAUUCAUUGGGUUUAAAGGGUGCGCAGGUGGGCUUGUAAGUCAGUGGUGAAAUGCUGCCGCUUAACGGUAGAACUGCCAUUGAUACUGCGAGUCUUGAGUAUGGUUGAGGUAGGCGGAAUGUGUUGUGUAGCGGUGAAAUGCAUAGAUAUGACACAGAACGCCAAUUGCGAAGGCAGCUUACUAAGCCAUUACUGACGCUGAGGCACGAAAGCGUGGGGAGCGAACAGGAUUAGAUACCCCAGUAGUC